UACGGAGUGGGCUAGCGUUGUUCGGAAUUACUGGGCGUAAAGCGCACGUAGGCGGCUUUGCAAGUUAGAGGUGAAAGCCCAGGGCUCAACCCUGGAAUUGCCUUUAAAACUGCAUCGCUAGAAUUGUGGAGAGGUAAGUGGAAUUCCGAGUGUAGAGGUGAAAUUCGUAGAUAUUCGGAAGAACACCAGUGGCGAAGGCGACUUACUGGACACAUAUUGACGCUGAGGUGCGAAAGCGUGGGGAGCAAACAGG
rnacentral:rRNA from 1 species